rnacentral:lncRNA from 1 species
UCAACACUACUUGUUACUACUUUAUCACUAGCAUUUUCCUAUCGAGUCUUUGACCAUACACAAUUCACACACUAUGGUUGAUGUCUUACACUCCUCUAAACCUUCUUUGGAUUCUUUAGUUUCAGCAUUGGGGCAAUUAGGUUAAUGUGUCUUAUCGCACCUAUUCAGUCCUACUCUUACAAGUUUAGUGAACACUUACUUUAGAAAUAGGCCAUACUACAUACAUCUUAGGUGAGAUGAUCCAAGGCAUCGUCAUCGCAAUUAGGAAGCCACCCUUUUGUUAAAGGUUACAAACCUGACGACAUGCUUUUUAUAUGAAGAUUGAUAUGAACGAUCCAAACUAAAACACAUAAUGAAUUUGAGACAAAUUACUUAUCAUACCCUUUAAACUUUCUUUCAUAUGAGUACCAAGCAAAACCUACCAAAUGUCCAAAUGAUCGUCUCAGCCCCCAAAAUCCUACAAAAUUGGUGGCGAAGCAUCUAAGCAGUGCAUCGAGCCAAGGUUAAAAAAAUACUUAGGUUCUUUUAUGUCACUUAUGGAUAUUCAGGACAACAACGUGCUCACCAAGAUAUUGGUUCCGUUUUGGGACUCGAUCAUCAUGAAUUUUCAGUUUACAAACUUUGAGAUUACCCCAACUUUGGAGGAAAUCAGUAGCCUCAUGGACUUGCCUCUUGAAGGAAGAAUACCGUUGGCCCCACCGGCCAGACCGACAAUGGUUUCUUACGUGCUUUAGAUUUAAGUGCAAUUCGUGCCCCAAGGAAUAUCAGAGAUGGAUGGGUUAACCUGAAUUAUUUAUUUCAGAGAUUUGGAUGUCGAAGGAGCUAUGGCAAUCACCGAAAUGAUUUCUCCUGUAAUAGAGCAAGAUGGGGAGAGUUCUUGCCCUAUGGACUUCGUACUCACCAUCUUGGGAUUAUGGCCUUCCCAAAAAAAAAAGGGCCACAUCAAUGUUAACUUGAUGCCUUGGUCUUUACUAUGUUUACCGAUUCUGAGAAAUAGACAUUAGCACCGAUACUACUGGCGGAACUAUUUAGGGCUUUAUCUGCUUGCUUUAGAGGGGAUGAUUUCUUUGGUGGAUUCAACUUUUUGCUUCAAGUUUGGGCCAUGGAACAUUUCUAUCAAAGGGAGCCAAUCAGCGACAUCCUAGAGGACAUUCGCGAUAGGGUACAAAGACAUGAACAUUAAGUUGAGAUUUUGGGGAGCACCACUAGGACUAGAAGAAUGGCGAGCUUAUUUGACGUACCUCAUAGGGGAUGCCAUCCACUGAAGCUUUCUUGGAUUAUAGGAAGAACAUUGCUAAGGAGGUACACUAGUUAUUUUAUUGAGUUGGAAGGAAUCCAACCGUACGCUCCACUUAGAGUCCUACAUUAAUUCAUCAUAAAAUAAAAUAUCCCUUUUAUGGUCACACAUGGCUCCAACAGAAGUCACUUAUGAAAGACAAGUACCUUGGGCCAGAAUUAGAAGACUGCAUGAAAUAUCGAUGAACAUACUUUAUGCUGAAAUUGGCCAAACAACUUGGUGCACCUUGGAAUAUUAUGCAUGAAAAGUAGAAGGAGACCCAUAAUGCCAUCAAUAUGGGAAAAAAUUCCUGGGCUGGUGGACUAUGACAUGAUGUGUCAGGUGGCGAGUGGAAUACUACCUCACAUGUAUUUCACCACCUCCAUGUAUCGACAGGUCAUUCCAUGAUGAGUUAAUGAUGUGAUACCUUUAGACGAUGAUAAUGACGUGAGGGAAAGCACAAAAGAGGAAACAGGAGAUCAAUUUGAGAGUAGUGAAGAUGAUCUGGACUACCCAAAUUGGCUUAAUAAGUGUGGGAGAUUUCACGAAUUACCACUUGGACUUUUUUCUGGACCUAGAUAAUUAUGAUGAAGAUGGCCAAAUGUGUCCAUAGAUUCUCUUCCAUUGUUAUAUUUUCCGCAUUCCCUAAAGAGCCGCAAGGCCAACCCCAUUGUAUGCCUUUGCAUUUAUCUGUAGCAUCCUGCUUUUUUUGGGUUAAGAUUUGAACCGCCUUUCUUAUGUAUAUAGACCAGAAUCCAAUGGUUUCUAGUUAUAAUUAAGUUUUAAUAACAAUGCUUUAGUGUGAGAACAUCUUUGGAGAUGAGUAUACGUCAUAACAAUCUCCUAGCUUAAAGUUAAGUUGAGCACAUUCUUACCGGUUGAGUUUUAGUUGAUGAUUUUUCUUAGGUCAACUUCCAACGAACAUUACUCCUAUAAUAUAAGGUGUUAUGUGGAUCAUUAUAUAUCAAAUUAAAUCUCUUUGAGUCAUAUUUCCAACUAGGGGUGUACAAACCAAACCUUCAAGUUAAACCAAACCGAAGAACCAAACCAAAUCGAGAAAAAAUUGACUUAUGGUUUGAUUUGGUUGGUUUGACGUUUGAAAAAAAAAACCAACCAUUCUUGAUUUGGUUUGGUGUUAACCAAAACAAAGUCAAAUCGAACCCAAAUCAAACCGACAUAAUAUAUAUAUAUAUAUAAAUAUAUAUAUGUGUGUAUGUGUGUAUGUAUAUAUAUAUAUUCAUAUUUGGGUCUUUAAGUUGUACUAUUUACCCAUUAAUUGCUAAUAAAAUGAUCCAAUAUCCAACAUAAAAUUAAAACCUAAAUUUUUCACUCUUCAUCUUAUUUCGCUACUAAAAAAAGGACGAAAAGCGAUGUCCAACAUCGCUUUUCUGGCCAAAACCGACGAACAAGCGUCGCUUUUUUUCCAUCAAAAAAAGCCCGUUGUUUUUUAAAAACGACGGCAUGCAUCGCUUUUUUUACGAUGGACAAUGUCGCUUUUUGAUUUUUUUUAAUUUCUUUUAGAAAAAGCGAUGCUGUGUGUCGUUUUAUAUUCUUCAUGAGAAGAACACAUGAUGAACAAAAACGACGCAUACCACCGUUUUAUUGAAGAAAAAAUUAAAAAAAAUUAGAAAAACAACAUUGUCCGUCGUAUUUUGGGAAAAAAUCUUUUUUUCAUAAUGAAGAUAAAAAGUGACGUUGGCCGUCGCUUUUUGUUCUUCGUAAUAAAGAAAAAAGCGAUGUUGGCCGUCGCUUUUUGUUCUUCAUAAUAAAGAAAAAAAAUGAUGUUGGACGUCGCUUUUUGUUCUUCAUAAUGAAGACAAAAAGCGACGUUGACCAUCGUUUUCUUAAAUUUUAUUUUAAAAAUUUUUAGAAAAGCGAUGGACAAAAGAGACCAUGUUUGUCGUUUUUCCGCAUUUUUUGCAUCCCACCUGCCAAAUAAAAAUGCAAUUCAAUAUAUACAGCCUCAUGCAACACACAUUUCUAAAAUAAUCAUACAAUGCAUUACAUGAGCAAAACAUUAAAGCAAUUCAAAUCAACAACACUUAAACAAUCAAAUCCAAAAUACAAAACAUUUAUUAAUUAAUCCAACAACUACCAAAACACUUAAACAAUCCUAAAGUUUUUUCAUUAGAAUCUACAGGUGUCCGAGAUUUCUUUUUAGCAGUUGACUUCGAACUCUUAUCAGGACGAGGCCAAUCACCAUCACCACCGAAUGUCAUCUGUAUACAAGUUUACAUCAAAACAUAUAAAAAUCAAGUCAUUAGUUCAUAUUUCAUGUGACUACACUUACUAUUUUCAAGUUACUAAUACACAUUUCAAGAUAAAACAAUUAAACCAUUUUCAAAUAUCUAAUUGACAUUUUAUUUCACUAUACUUAACCAUUUUCAAAUAACUAGUAGACAUUUCAAGUAACUACUCUUAACCAUUUUCAAAUAACUAAUUCACAUUGCAAGUCACCACACUUAAAAUAUUUUCAAGUCACUAAUACACAUUUCAAAUCAUUACACUUGACUAUUUUCAAUUAACUAAAUCACACUUCAAGUCAAUAUACUUAAUCAUUUUCAAGUGACUAUACUUCAUUAUUUUAAAGUUAUUAGUACACAUUUCAAGUGACUACACUUAACCAUUUUCAAGCAUCAAGUUCACAAUUUUAAGUAACCACACUUAACCAUUUUUAAGUCACAAGUUCACAUUUUCAAGUAACAACACUUAACCCUUUUCAAGUCACUACAAUUAAUAAUUUUCAAAUAACUUAUUCACUAGUACACAUUUCAAGUCACUAAACUCAAAUCAUUUUCAAAUAGCUAAUUAACAUUUCAAGUCACUAUACUUAAGCAUUUUCAAGUAACUACACUUAACCAUUGUCAAAUAACUAGUAGACAUUUCAAGUCACUACACUUAACCAUGUUCAAAUAACUAAUUCACAUUUCAAGUAACUACACUUAACCAUUUUCAAAUAACUAGUAGACAUUUCAAAUCACUAAACUAAACCAUUUUCAAAUAACUAAUUCAUAUUUCACGUCACUACACUUGACCAUUUUCAAAUAAUUAAUUCACAUUUCAAGUCACUACACCAUUUUCAAAUAACUAAUUGACAUUUCAAGUCACUACACUUAAACAUUCAAUUUAAGUUACUAUACUUAACCACUUUCAAGUAACUAAUUCACAUUUCAAAUACCUAAACUUAACCAUUUUCAAGUCACAAGUUUGCAAUUUUAAGUAACUACACUAAACCAUUUUCAAGUCACUACACUUAAUAAUUUUCAAGUAGCUUAUUCACAUUUCAAGUCACUACACCAUUUUCAAAUAACUAAUUGACAUUUCAAAUAAUUACACACAACCAUUUUCAAGUCAUGUACUAGCAUUUCAAGUCACUACACUUAACUAUUUUCAAUUAACUAAUUCACAUUUUUAAGUCACUAUACUUAACUAUUUUCAAAUAACUACACAUAAUCAUUUUCAAGUCACUAGUACACAUUUCAAGUCACUACACUUAAUCAUUUUUAAAUAACUAAUUCACAUUGCAGGCCACUAUAAAUAUCCACUUUUAAGUAACUAAACUUAACCAUUUUAAAGUCACUAGUAUCACAAAUUUUCAAUGUCAAAACAUAAAAGCAACCAAACACAUCUCACUUGGGCCAAACAAACCUACUCGCGACAUAUCAUUGCAAAGCAACUCUCCAUAGUCAAAUUUUUGCAUAGGUUAAAUUAUGUCUCACAGAGCUAGCAUAACAUCUCGAACUAUGCUAAUGGAUUUUUAAAAAAAUUGGUACCUAAACUACGAUAAUAGUUUUAUCCACAUAGAUUUAAGUCUAUGAACACUAAAUACAGCAAACACAUCCAACUUUAAUUUAAAACUGGUAAUAGUUCUUCAUGCCUUUAAGCCUAUGAAAUAUGCUAAUAGUUUUUUAUAAAAACUGGUAACUAAACUAUGCUAAUAGUUUUAUCCAUAUAGAUUUAAGUCUGUAAAUACUACACAGUUUUAAAAACGUCUGUUUUAAAAAAGUCUACACUCACUAAAUACACCAUUCGCAUCCAACUUGGGCCUUACGAAUAACAUAAUGUACUGGCAACGUAUCAUUGCAAAUCAACUUGCCGAUGGGUUCCGCCGUUUGGAGUCAGUUUUCGGCGAAUCCUCAUCGGUUGAGCACCGACUGGAGGUGGCUGCUAGUAGCAUGGCGGCACUUGGAUGGGCGGUGUCGUCGAGAGAAUAAAAGGAGGGAGGCAGUGGUGCGGCGCUCAUUUUUUGUCGGAUCUGGGCGGGUGCGUUGACGGGUGGAGUACGCCUGCGGGUAGGUGAUUGGAGAAGCAACGUGAGGGCUGUGACAUCGACGCUUGACUGAUGAUCGAGAGAAGGUUUAGGGAGAGAGAGAGAUUGUAAAGAGAAAGGGAGAAGGUGCGGCUGGCUGUUUGUGGAAAUGGAUUAGGGUUCCUCUUUUUUGUGUAUAUAAAAGGAAAG